CAGCCGCCGCGGGAAUACGAAGGGGGCUAGCGUUGCUCGGAAUUACUGGGCGUAAAGGGCGCGUAGGCGGCACUGUUAGUCAGGCGUGAAAUUCCCGGGCUCAACCUGGGGACUGCGCUUGAUACGGCAGAGCUUGAGGAUGGAAGAGGGUCGUGGAAUUCCCAGUGUAGAGGUGAAAUUCGUAGAUAUUGGGAAGAACACCGGUGGCGAAGGCGGCGACCUGGUCCAUUACUGACGCUGAGGCGCGACAGCGUGGGGAGCAAACAGGAUUAGAUACCCGCGUAGUCCCUGUCUCUUAUAC
rnacentral:rRNA from 1 species